GACCUUUGCUUUGCAGUUCUUCAUGAUUUGGGUGACAGAUUCCCGGACGUCCUUUAAGAACUGGAUUGCCACUCGCUUCCGGACGAUAAGCCCUCAUGGAGAGAUGGCCAUGCGGCUGGGGCCUUGAAGGACUUGAAGGCAAUGAAGAAACAAAUUCACCUGGAGAGAAGAUGGAAUACAGAGAAUUGUGAAGAGGCUUACCUUAUGGGUAUCAGCCGAAAUACUGGUUACACCUUCUACCCGGAAAUCGAAUGGUUUCUCCAGUGGGUAUCCUGCUUUCUCCAUAAAGACGAUAAGGAAACCCCCCAGACAGGCAUCUACAUGAAGAGGUAUUUUGUAUUUGAUGGCCAGCUAGUUCAAAAAAACAAGGGACAAAAGAGAAUUUCAUUUAACAGCCCUAUAAUAAAAACUUUGCAGGACAUGGGCGGAAAUGCUGGCUGGCUAUCAACACAAAGCUAUUCUGAACUGUAACUCCCAUGUGUUAAAAACUGGCUAUUUUUGACAUUCCUAAGAAAGUUUUUCCUUCAAUUGUAUUUAGCCUUCAAAAUAA